rfam:Pseudozyma antarctica DNA, scaffold: scaffold_v10013, strain JCM 10317, whole genome shotgun sequence.
GGCUGGUUGGUGAAGUGGCCUAACACACUGGUUUUAGGACGACUAAGGUUCUGCACGGACCUGAAGAUGUUCACACCAGGAUUCCUGGGUUCGAAUCCCAGACUAGUCA